GAGAAACCUUAUGAAUGUGAUGUUUGCAACAAAAGAUUUUCAGUCAGGUAACUUAGCAGGUCAUAAGAGAACACACACUGGAGACAAACCUUAUGAAUGUGAUGUUUGCAACAAAAGAUUUUUGCGAUCAGACGUGUUAGCGGUUCAUAAGAGAACACACACUGGAGAGAAACCUUAUGAAUGUGAUGUUUGCAAAAAAAGAUUUUAGAACGCACACUGGAGACAAACCUUAUGAAUGUGAUGUUUGCAACAAAAGAUAUUCCCCAAUCAAGCACCUGCACAUAAGAGAACACACACUGGUGAGAAACCUUAUGAAUGCGAUGUUUGCAACAAAAGAUUUUCACACUCGAGCCUCUUAGCAAUUCAUAAGCAAUCAAGCACCUUAGUUGCACAUAAGAGAACACACACUGGUGAGAAACCUUAUGAAUGCGAUGUUUGCAACAAAAGAUUUUCACACUCGAGCCUCUUAGCAAUUCAUAAGAGAACACACACUGGAGACACACCUUAUGAAUGUGAUGUUUGUAACAAAAGAUUUUUGCAGUCAAGCAACUUAGCUACCCAUAAGAGAACACACACUGGAGAGAAACCUUAUGAAUGUGAUGUUUGUAAGAAGAGAUUUUCACACUCAAGCCAUUUAGUUAGACAUGAAAGAACACAUACUGGAGACAAACCUUAUGAAUGUGACAUUUGCAACAAACGAUUUUUGCAGUCAAGUGACUUAACAAUUCAUAAGAGAACACAUACUGGAGACAAACCUUAUGAAUGUGAUGUUUGUAAGAAGAGAUUUUCAUGCUCGGCCAAUUUAACCAAGCAUAAAAGAACCCAUACCAGGGACAAACCUUAUGAAUGCGAUAUUUGUAAGAAAACAUUUUUACAAUCGGGCCAUUUAGCUAAGCAUAAGAAAACACACGCUAGAGACAAACCUUAUGAAUGUCAUGUUUGCAAUAAGAAAUUUUCAGAAUCUCGCAAUUUAACACAACAUAAAAUGUCAGCACACAAGAGAAAGCCGAGUCUUGAGUGUGCUAAAUGUAAGAAAACAUUCGCACAAAGGCAAAGUCUCAAACGUCAUUGGAGAUCACACUUGAGAGAUGGCUUAUUAUUGUGCCACACCUGUGGCAAAGAAAUUAUUCAAGGUCAAGGACAUGCUAGUGAGAUACAGAGUGAUGAUCAUUUUGACUGUGACAAAUGCAACAAACAGUUCCCUGAUAUUGAAAGUUUAUAUCAGCACAAGGCCAAAGACCAUGGUACGUCCUACCAAUGUAAUGUCUGUAAGGAAUUAGAAGCAAGAGAAGCAACUGGUAUUAGUUAUAUCUGUUGCGUCUGUGAUGCAGAGUUUGAAAUUGCCACUGAACUUGAAGAUCAUAUGAGUAUGCAUGACAAUGUGCUGCCCCACUAGCUAGCUAGGCAACAUAAUUGAAGAUAUUUUGGGCAAUAUUAGGCUGAUGUGUUAUGGAAAAAAUCAAUAUAUCGAUAUUGAACAAAAAUAUGGAAUAUAUCGAAUUAUGAAAUUAGAAAACGUAGUUCAGUCAGCCUGCACUGUUCUUGAAGUAAAUCCAAACAGUGCUUUGAAUUGUUGAUUUGACAUAUUUAUUCUCUAGACUUUCCUUCAGUGAGUCUAGACAGUGAAAUUAGAAGGAGCUGUGAUAUUUUGAUUCCAUGUUUAUGAAUCAUCACACAGUUAUUGUUUUCAAAAACUAUUGCUCGUGUGGAUGGUGAUCUUUACACUUCUAAAUUGCCAACAUGCUUACUUGAAUUCUCAAUUGCUGUCACAUGUGCGUUUUCUCAACUUUACAGAAGGAGAUUAAGUUCUCUACUUAAAAGGUUCCAUGUUGUCGAUAUUCAAAAAGUGGAUAAUAUUUUUAAAUAUUAAUAUUUUUGAAAUAUUGAUAUUUAUCAAAGAUAUUGAUAUAUCGCAUCAACCUAGGUAAUGUGUUGUGUUGAAACCUCUCUUGAAAUUUAUUUGAAACUGUUUUUCCCCAGUUUGUGAUUGUUUGAAAUUGGUUGAAUUGUUUAGAGAUUAUUUUGACAUAGUAAUGCAAUGAGCCAAUGUAACUGUUUAAUAUGAUUGAAAAGUGAUCAAUAUUGAUAAUUGACGUAAUGCAUUUUGAACUAAAGUCAGUUUGUACAUAUCUGUUCUUUUUGGUUAGAAGUUUGUUAAAAUAGUGGAUUCUUAGUAUAAUAAUAUUUGGUUAGAAUAAUAGUACUUUGGUCUUUUAUCUGGGUUUUUGUUAGAAGUUUGUUAAAAUAGUGGAUUCUUAGUAUAAUAAGAUUUGGUUAGAAGAG